GAAACUACUGAUAGCCCACAGAACCAGGCAAGACAUUACAAAAUUCUUCAGGAGCUGUACAAAUCCAAGCCCAGACCCAAUAAGAAGGAUGUUGCCCAGCUGUUGGACCUUGAAGACCAAGCAAGACGAGCAUACAUUGACUCUGAUGUUCUUAAGGAGCAGGACAGGCCUGCCAAGAUUCUUCAAGCAUAUCCCUGCUUCAGAGAACUGGAUCAUGUAAGCAAAUUAAAUUGCAUAUAUUUGAUAAUGGAUGAACUCCGAUGAAAUCCUCGAUCAGAAAAACUCUCACUACAUACCUGAACUAAAGAACCGUUGGGAAACCUUUUAUGAGAAGGCACAGUUUUAUGGAGUUUGUAAAAAAGUGAUGAGGCCUCCGUUGUCGGAUAAAGUAAAGCAAUCUGUUGCCGUGAUUAAGGCUUUGCCAGACCUGUUCCCAUCACCUGUGGCUCCACAGAAGAAGUUAGGACAUACAAGUGCAGCUAUGCUUCACAUCCUUAAGUCUGCAGAAGACCCCAACACCUUUGUC